rnacentral:lncRNA from 1 species
UCUACUUCCUUGAUAGCUGCAAGGUAACGCUCGCUUCAAGCUCUCCAAUGCUUCACUCUCCCAUAUAUCAUCUACCACCACAAGAUAUCUUUUCUCUUGUAGAAUAUCAUGAAGGUAAACUUCUAACUCCUGCUGAGCCAUCUUUUCAAGCUCUCCCUCAGAUGUUUCUUCCAAAGAGCUUAUGAUUCUCAUAAGUAUAUCUCUUGUAUUACAUUCUCCAGAAACAUUAGUCCAUACUCGAUAUUCAAAGCUUUCCUUCACAUCGCUAGAGUUAAAAAGCUUUCUUGCAAGAGAAGUCUUCCCGAGACCUUC